rnacentral:rRNA from 1 species
UACGUAGGGGGCAAGCGUUGUCCGGAAUUAUUGGGCGUAAAGCGCGUGUAGGCGGCUUUGCAAGUCGGGUGUGAAAGCCUCACGCUCAACUGAGGAAGUGCGCCCGAAACUGCAGAGCUUGAGUGCCGGAGAGGGUGGCGGAAUUCCCCAAGUAGAGGUGAAAUUCGUAGAUAUCGGGAGGAACACCAGUGGCGAAGGCGGCGAUCUGGGAAGAUACUGACGCUGAGGUGCGAAAGCGUGGGGAGCAAACAGG